AGUGAACGCUGGCGGCGUGCUUAACACAUGCAAGUCGAACGAGAACGGAUUAUAGCUUGCUAUAAUUGUCAGCUAAGUGGCGCACGGGUGAGUAACGUAUAGGUAAUAUGCCUCUUACUAAGGGAUAACAAAUGGAAACGUUUGCUAAUACCUUAUACUCCUUAUUAACAGAAGUUAAUAAGGGAAAGAUUUAUUGGUAAGAGAUUAGCCUGUAUUGUAUCAGUUAGUUGGUGGGGUAAUGGCUUACCAAGACUAUGACACAUAACUGGUUUGAGAGGAUGAUCAGUCACACUGGAACUGAGACACGGUCCAGACUCCUACGGGAGGCAGCAGUGGGGAAUAUUGCACAAUGGACGAAAGUCUGAUGCAGCAACGCCGCGUGGAGGAUGACACAUUUCGGUGCGUAAACUCCUUUUAUAUGAGAAGAUAAUGACGGUAUUAUAUGAAUAAGCACCGGCUAACUCCGUGCCAGCAGCCGCGGUAAUAC
rnacentral:rRNA from 1 species